CACACACACACGUGGUCAUUGCAAAACCCCGUUUCCCGCCAUUGAGAAAGUGACGUAUGGAAUUAUUGAGAAAAUGAAAUUUGUUCGAGCUCUUCCAUGAGCCUUGACUUAAACAACCUCAUAAACCCAAAGAGGUGAAUGAUUCACUGUUCAAAACACGGAGAGGAACGUUGGUAAAAGCCUGGAGGCGACAAACAUGCAGGUGUUGCUGAUCUGGAGGGAAACACGGGGAUCAGUGUGAGUCCUCGGAUGGGGGUGUUCAUCCGCCCAAGCGUCGGGGUCAUCGAUGUAUUACGUACCGACUGGGGAGACGUUGUGGAAAAGAAGGGGAUGUGUAUGAUACAAGCUGAAGUUGUCCAUUCUCCCUUUAACCUUCUCUCCAUCGGACCGAUCCUCUUCCUCACGUCGAAGUGAAAAAUCUGAAACAAGAAUUGUGCGUUUGACCUUGAUUCCGGUGAUUCCGCUGAAUCACGGGAACUUGUUUUGUAUUCCCGGGGAAUGGAUACACGUGGUUCAACGGAUAAAAACAUCGGAAGGUGGAACCUCCAACUCUUGUAAAUUGCUUUGCUUCGUGCUGAGGGUCAUGGACCGAGACCACCUGAGGUACUCCCACGAUCCGAGCUCCUCGGACUCCAAGUCGGGUUCUGAUGGAGGGACCAGAGGGGGUCCAGGAGGGGCUGAUGGGAUCUGCGGGUUCAGGAUCCUGGACGUUCAGAACCUUCGUGAUGGAGGGGACGGGACGGACCAGGAACCAGAUCCUAUAGUGGUGGUGAAGGUGGAACCUGAACCUGCAGGUGGUUCUCCACCACCAGGUGAAAUGGAUCCAGUGGAAGCGGAAUAUUUCCAUGGAAACACUCUUCCAACUUCAAAGAGUGUACAUGUGAAGGAAGAGCUGGGUGAAGAUUCUCCCUCUGAAGAUGAGAAAUCGAGGACGAUCUUCAGGAUGUUUUCCUGCACCAAGAAUGUUCAUACCUCCAAAGAGAGAUCUUUACGACCAGACCAGAAGAGUCACUGUGCGAUUUGCAAGGAUUAUGAACAGAAUUUUAACCAUGACCAGGAGAAAAUUCCCAUGACUGCUGCCGAACGUCAGGCCAAAUGUCGUGCCAAACUAAAGGAGAGCAGGGAAAACUAUGCUGAACAUAAAAAGAAGAAUGUUCAGUACCAGAUGAAGAGCAGGUGCAAGAAGAAAGAGCGAGAAUUAAGUCUCCCAAACCGUGACCAAAAGCUCAUACAGGAGCACCGCCGCGAAGAAACCAGGAAGCGCGUAGCAAAGUGGCGUGCAUUGAAGAAACAAGAGGCAAAAGACAAGGGCCCAGCUGCACUGAUAGUGCCAUUUAGGAAUGCACAUGU
rnacentral:lncRNA from 1 species